rnacentral:rRNA from 1 species
CCCUUUGUAUUCGUACGAAGGUGUCCUAGUGGCGAACGGGUGAGUAACGCGUUGGUGACCUACCCCGAAGUUUGGGAUAACCCUACGAAAGUGGGGCUAAUACCAAAUGUGGUCAUCGGAUUUAGAAACCGAUGUCUAAAGGAUUUAUUCGCAUCGGGAGGGGCCUGCGUCCCAUCAGCUAGUUGGUAAGGUAACGGCUUACCAAGGCUACGACGGGUAGGGGACCUCAGAGGGUGGCCCCCCACAAUGGAACUGAAACACGGUCCAU